UUAAAUUGAAGAGUUUGAUCAUGGCUCAGAUUGAACGCUGGCGGCAGGCCUAACACAUGCAAGUCGAACGGUAACAGGAAACAGCUUGC
rnacentral:rRNA from 1 species